rnacentral:rRNA from 1 species
ACGGGUGAGUAAUGUCUGGGAAACUGCCCGAUGGAGGGGGAUAACUACUGGAAACGGUAGCUAAUACCGCAUAACGUCGCAAGACCAAAGAGGGGGACCUUCGGGCCUCUUGCCAUCGGAUGUGCCCAGAUGGGAUUAGCUUGUUGGUGAGGUAAUGGCUCACCAAGGCGACGAUCCCUAGCUGGUCUGAGAGGAUGACCAGCCACACUGGAACUGAGACACGGUCCAGACUCCUACGGGAGGCAGCAGUGGGGAAUAUUGCACAAUGGGCGCAAGCCUGAUGCAGCCAUGCCGCGUGUAUGAAGAAGGCCUUCGGGUUGUAAAGUACUUUCAGCGGGGAGGAAGGCGAUACGGUUAAUAACCGUGUCGAUUGACGUUACCCGCAGAAGAAGCACCGGCUAACUCCGUGCCAGCAGCCGCGGUAAUACGGAGGGUGCAAGCGUUAAUCGGAAUUACUGGGCGUAAAGCGCACGCAGGCGGUCUGUCAAGUCGGAUGUGAAAUCCCCGGGCUCAACCUGGGAACUGCAUUCGAAACUGGCAGGCUUGAGUCUUGUAGAGGGGGGUAGAAUUCCAGGUGUA